GUUUCAAUUCCUCAUAGGCAGGCUAUCGGCGGAUUAGAUACAGGGAUGUUGUCUUGGGAUUCUAUUG
rnacentral:sRNA from 1 species